rnacentral:rRNA from 1 species
AGAGUUUGAUCCUGGCUCAGAACGAACGCUGGCGGCGUGCCUAACACAUGCAAGUCCGACGUGAAAGGGGAGCAAUCCCCCGGUAGGGUGGCAAACGGGUGAGUAAGACAUGGGUGAUCUGCCCUGGAGAUGGGGAUAUCCCUCCGAAAGGGGGGGCAAUACCGAAUAGUAUCCGGUUCCGUGAAGGGGGCCGGGGAAAGGGAGGUCUCUGGUACAAGCUUCCGCUCCUGGAUGAGCCCAUGGCCCAUCAGCUAGUUGGUAGGGUAAAGGCCUACCAAGGCGACGACGGGUAGCUGGUCUGAGAGGACAACCAGCCACACUGGCACUGAGACACGGGCCAGACUCCUACGGGAGGCAGCAGUGAGGAAUAUUGCGCAAUGGGGGCAACCCUGACGCAGCAACGCCGCGUGUGGGAAGAAGGCUUUCGGGUUGUAAACCACUUUUGCCCGGGACGAAAGGGGGGGCCUGAAUAAGGUCACCCGAUGACGGUACCGGGAGAAUAAGCCACGGCUAACUCUGUGCCAGCAGCCGCGGUAAGACAGAGGUGGCAAGCGUUGUUCGGAGUUACUGGGCGUAAAGAGUCUGUAGGUGGUCUGUCAAGUCUUUGGUGAAAGGCCGUGGCUUAACCAUGGGAAUGCCAAAGAGACUGGCAGACUGGAGGCUGGGAGAGGGAAGCGGAAUUUCUGGUGUAGCGGUGAAAUGCGUAGAUAUCAGAAGGAAGGCCGGUGGCGAAGGCGGCNNAGUCCACGCCCUAAACGAUGGGUACUAAGUGUGGGAGGGUUAAACCUCCCGUGCCGCAGCCAACGCAGUAAGUACCCCGCCUGGGGAGUACGGCCGCAAGGUUGAAACUCAAAGGAAUUGACGGGGGCCCGCACAAGCGGUGGUGCAUGUGGUUUAAUUCGACGCAACGCGAAGAACCUUACCUGGGCUUGACAUGCCGCGAGUAGGGAACCGAAAGGGGACCGACCGGUUCAGUCCGGAAGCGGAACAGGUGCUGCAUGGCUGUCGUCAGCUCGUGCCGUGAGGUGUUGGGUUCAGUCCCGCAACGAGCGCAACCCUCGCCCUCUGUUGCCACCGGGUCAUGCCGGGCACUCUGAGGGGACUGCCAGCGACAAGUUGGAGGAAGGAGAGGAUGACGUCAAGUCAUCAUGGCCCUUAUGCCCAGGGCCACACACGUGCAACAAUGGCCGGUACAGACGGAAGCAAGACCGAGAGGUGGAGCAAAUCCGAGAAAGCCGGUCCCAGUUCGGAUUGAGGUCUGCAACUCGACCUCAUGAAGUCGGAAUCGCUAGUAAUCGCGUAUCAGCACGACGCGGUGAAUACGUUCCCGGGCCUUGUACACACCGCCCGUCACACCACGAAAGUCUGUUGUACCUGAAGUCGGUGCCCCAACCGGAAACGGAGGGAGCCGCCCAAGGUAUGGCCGGUAAUUGGGGUGAAGUCGUAACAAGGUAGCCGUAGGGGAACCUGCGGCUG